rnacentral:rRNA from 1 species
GAUGAACGCUGGCGGCGUGCCUAAUACAUGCAAGUCGAGCGAACAGACGAGGAGCUUGCUCCUCUGACGUUAGCGGCGGACGGGUGAGUAACACGUGGAUAACCUACCUAUAAGACUGGGAUAACUUCGGGAAACCGGAGCUACUACCGGAUAAUAUAUUGAACCGCAUGGUUCAAUAGUGAAAGACGGUUUUGCUGUCACUUAUAGAUGGAUCCGCGCCGCAUUAGCUAGUUGGUAAGGUAACGGCUUACCAAGGCAACGAUGCGUAGCCGACCUGAGAGGGUGAUCAGCCACACUGGAACUGAGACACGGUCCAGACUCCUACGGGAGGCAGCAGUAGGGAAUCUUCCGCAAUGGGCGAAAGCCUGACGGAGCAACGCCGCGUGAGUGAUGAAGGUCUUCGGAUCGUAAAACUCUGUUAUUAGGGAAGAACAAAUGUGUAAGUAACUAUGCACGUCUUGACGGUACCUAAUCAGAAAGCCACGGCUAACUACGUG